CCAAAACGUUACUUUUUUCCAUGAGCCGUGGAACAGGAGUUAGGUAGUAGCAAACCCUUACCACGGUGGUUCUAGAAACCAGACGCCGCCGCGGGCAACUAUCCCCCACCCCCACUGCUGUGGAAGGCUGCGCUGGCUCCGGCUAACCGGCGAUGGAAGAUCCUGCUGGACUCUGUCGACAUGUUCCCACUACGAUGCGGACAGCUUGGACCACCCGGAUCCGGUUCCUCUGGCGGAUCUCCAGCGGAUUGCCGACACGAGCGCUGACCCGGUUCCCGUUCCUGGUGCGGCGAGCGUGUUGGCGGCGCAAGACAGGGCAGGUAGGAAGCCGACAGCCGCCGCCGGUGGGAGGCUUCUCCGAGGCAGGGCAGGUAGGAAGGUGAAUCCAGAGGCGCCUGGAUGGACAAACAGGUGCGGCCUGAAGCUAGCCAUUGCAGGGCACCUGCUAUUUACUGUUUUGUUGAAUGCUACUCUGUUUGACGUACGCCGCCUUGAAAUUCGCUGCCAUACUUUCUGUAAGUUCGACUAGCUGAAUGAACGGGAUGAAGAUGAUCGUUCAUAUGGCUUGUGUAGGAUGCGAACAGGUAGAUCUUGGUAAGAUAGCUUAUGCUCCCACACCGUAAUUUGUCACAUAAUGCAGAAUUUAGAAACGGACAUAUAGAUGCUGCUUAAAAUUAUUGGAAAGUGGCGAGUGUAAGGAGUUGUGUUUGUGUAGUCAGCUAAAAGAUGAAGUCUGAACUCGAAGUGCACACGUUGAAACAAAGAAGACAAAAAACUGAUUGUGAGUAGUGUCACUCAGGAUUUUGUAUUUUCUGCCACACCAUUCAUACUGAAUUUGCCUUUCAUGUUUCUCACAGUGUGUUUCAAAUUUGUAUCUGCAAUUCUAUAUAGAUGGUUUGUGAGUACUGAAAGCAUUUGAAUAUUUUUCUUGAGAAAUGUUAGCAUGGCACCAUGCAAAGCGUGGUCCCAUCUGAUAUUCCACCACCAUUCCUGCUAGUCAGCAUUUCAUUUCCUCCCCCUGCGCCUCCACGUCCUCCUCUUAUCUUUCUAUGUAAGCAACUACAUCAACCAGAUCACUGAGAUCAGAUCAGAUGAGAUACACGCACUGGGUUUGGAUGUAGAUAGAUCCACGGUCCUGUCAGCUCUUCACCAAAUGCAUGCACUAAUGUACCAGUAGUAUUUGGUGGAAGUCAUGUACACUAUUACUUGUUUUCUGGUGAUGUACUACAAUAGCAUCCCCUUGCUGUGCGUAUAAACAACACUACUCCAGAAAUGGUUUUCCUUCUGCGAUGAUACGCAUCACACACGGAUGCAAGAUUAACCCGUACAUGUGAAGUGUCAACAGAGACACACAAAACUAAUACUAGAUAUUAACAUGUCUAGUUAUGGGAGUGUCGUGAUAUCGCCGUUCUUGUGCCUAUUUGUGCAUCCUGAUAUUUACUCCCUCUGUAAAGAAAUAUAAGAUCGUUUAGAUCACUAAUUUAUUUUUGGACAGAAAUGAUGUCUUAUCAGCAUAUACACCACUUUGAACAUCGAGUUAACCUCGUCACUUCAUAUCACUUGAUGGCAGAAUGAAAAAUGAUGCAUCCCAAGAAACAACACACAGGUUGCAUGGUGAAACUUAGCUUAUUGUGUGACAAUUUCCUGCUUCAAAUUAAUGGUGACAUGUAGUGUACAAAAUGAAAGAAUCAUAUGUGACAUAAGGUGCAUUACAUUCUAGUUAGUAGCGUAUAAGAUAAUUUUUGGAUUACUAACUGACAUAAGUAAUCAUUACAUUCUAGAUAUUAUGGGAUGGAGGGAGUACUUACUACCAAAAGAUGGAGAAUGGCGUUUGGGGAUAUGUAUGAAUCUUGUGUGUACCCCGCUUUCUCAGCUCGCUGAUGGAGACCAUGUUAGCUAAAUUUUUUUGUGAGACUACCUUGAAAAUUUCUUGACAAGCAUGUUUAAUUCUAGCUAGCCUAGUUUUUACCUACAAUUCACAAGAUACAGGACAAUUUGUGAGGUUGCAUUUACCAGCAACGAAGCUCACAUUGUAUACUUUUAUGUAUAUUUGUCAUCAUGUAUAUCACAAAUGAUAUAGGCAGACAUAUUUUAAUAUUUCAGAAGAGUGUGUCGAAAGAUCAAGUGGUGUUGACAAGCAAAUGGAAAUGUGCGAAGCCAUGCAUGGACCAGAAACAACAGGUGUAAUGCUAUGGAAGAGCAAGAGAAAUUGGAGAAGCAGGAGAAGAAACGAAGGCAGAAGGAGAUUAAUUGUCCAAAUUAGCACUGAAGCUGCAGCGGGACAAAUUAGCCCCAGUUCUCUCUUGUGGGUUUAAUUAUGAAUGGUACUGUUUACACUGGCAUGCUUAGUUAUGAAUGCUAUGUGAGCUAGACAUAUCACAAUUAAAGAUUUUCCUCUUAUUUUGCCAAGCUAACAACAUGGAUCCUGUGUGGUGUUGCACCAUCUUUUGUGUCCAGGUUGUAUGUUCUAGUUGGUAGAUUAUAAACUUUGUUGGAUUUUGCCUUAAGUAUUUGAAUCAUGGUACAACCAGUCAGCUA